AGCUGGUCUGAUAGUAGUGGGUUGUCAGAACUUUGUUAACAUUAGUGUCACUAAAGUUGGUACUCAACCCCCCAUGGCUAAAUUUGGCUUAAA
rnacentral:Y_RNA from 1 species